AUUGAACGCUGGCGGCAGGCCUAACACAUGCAAGUCGAGCGAGCGGCGGACGGGUGAGUAAUGUAUGGGGACUGCCCGAUAGAGGGGGAUAACUACUGGAAACGGUGGCUAAUACCGCAUACUACAGGAUAACCCAUAUAGGAUUCGCUAGUAGGUGGGGUAAAGGCUCAACUAGGCGACGAUCUCUAGCUGGUCUGAGAGGAUGAGCAGCCACACGGGGACUGGGACACGGCCCAGAAUCCUACGGAUGCAGCAGUGGGGAAUAUUGCACAAUGGGCGCAAGCCUGAUGCAGCCAUGCCGCGUGUAGGAAGAAGGCAUUAGGGUUGUAAAGUACUUUCAGCGGGGAGGCGUUACCCGCAGAAGAAGCACCGGCUAACUCCGUGCCAGCAGCCGCGGUAAUUC
rnacentral:rRNA from 1 species